rnacentral:misc_RNA from 1 species
GAUGAAGAACGUAGCGAAAUGCGAUAAGUAAUGUGAAUUGCAGAAUUCAGUGAAUCAUCGAAUCUUUGAACGCACAUUGCGGCCGCUAGUAUUCUGGCGGGCAUGCCUGUUCGAGCGUCAUUUCAACCAUCAAGCCCCAGGCUUGCGUUGGGGGCCUGCGGCUGCCGCAGCCCCUGAAAAGCAGUGGCGGGCUCGCUGUCAUUCCGAGCGUAGUAGUUACAUCUCGCUCCGGGCGUGGCGGUGGGCACCUGCCGUGAAACACUCUAUCUAAGGUUGACCUCGGAUCAGGUAGGAAUACCCGCUGAACUUAAGCAUAUCAAUAAGCGGAGGA